AUUAGACUUGCUGGAUCAUAUGGUAACUCUAUGUUUAACUUUUUGAGGAACUGCCAGACUGUUUUCCAAAGUGGCUGCACUAUUUUACAUUUCCACCAGCAAU
rnacentral:pre_miRNA from 1 species